rnacentral:rRNA from 1 species
UACGGAGGGUGCGAACGUUAAUCGGAAUUACUGGGCGUAAAGCGCACGUAGGCGGUCCGUUAAGUGGGAUGUGAAAGCCCCGGGCUCAACCUGGGAAUUGCAUUCCAAACUGACGGGCUAGAGUACGAUAGAGGGAGGUAGAAUUUCCUGUGUAGCGGUGAAAUGCGUAGAUAUAGGAAGGAAUACCUGUGGCGAAGGCGGCCUCCUGGAUCGAUACUGACGCUGAGGUGCGAAAGCGUGGGGAGCAAACAGG